UACGUAGGGUGCAAGCGUUGCCCGGAAUCAUUGGGCGUAAAGAGCUCGUAGGCGGCUUAGUAAGUCGGGUGUGAAACCUCCAGGCUCAACCUGGAGACGCCACCCGAUACUGCUAUAGCUAGAGUCCAGUAGGGGAGUGCGGAAUUCCCGGUGUAGCGGUGAAAUGCGCAGAUAUCGGGAGGAACACCAGCGGCGAAGGCGGCACUCUGGGCUGGUACUGACGCUCAGGAGCGAAAGCGUGGGUAGCAAACAGG
rnacentral:rRNA from 1 species